AAUGACUCCCGGCAACGGAUAUCUAGGCUCUCGCAUCGAUGAAGAACGUAGCGAAAUGUGAUACGUGGUGUGAAUUGCAGAAUCCCGUGAACCAUCGAAUCUUUGAACGCAAGUUGCGCCCGAGGCCUCUAGGUCGAGGGCACGCCUGCCUGGCGUCACGC
rnacentral:rRNA from 1 species